UGGUCCAUCCUAAUCCCUGCUGAUCAGUCAGUGAUCUGCCAGGCUUCGCUUGUGGACCAGAGCAUCCUAGAAGCCCUGCCAGUUAAGCGAGGCCUUUUUAGGCUUGUGCCAGUGGCACUUCUGAACACAU